AGCUGAAGUCGGACACUUAACCGACUGAGCCCCCAGGAGCCCCACAACCAAAUAGUCCUAAUAACAGUUCUUCUGACACUGAUCCCGUUCAUUUGGAACUUAAUUCUUCACCUACCUUCCCCAGAAUGUCAGGAAAUUACCUUCACUUAUCUCAGUAAAUAAUAUUCAAUAUUCCUCCCACAUGAAAGCUGGUCUUAAGGGACAGGUUCUCUGACUCUCAGCUUGAGCCUUCCACUCUUAGUUUCCACUUUCAAUAAGACAUGGCUUCUUAGUUUCCUUGGGAAAGGUCAAAUGGGGAAGCAAGCUAGCAGCUUGGAGGUGAGCUAUACCUCACGGAAAUCAGAGACUAUGUCACAAUACCAGCCAAUUCCAUGCUGACAGCAGGUGGGGAAGAAAGAACAGAUUCAGGCAGUGGAAGUGGAUGGAGCAAGAGAGUAAGCACCGGUCCCCAAAGGUUGAACACCAAAUAUCUUAGAAAUAUGAAGAAAAAGACAACAGAACUAAUUCUAUGCUUGAUUUAUCAGCGCCAGGUAAAAAAAAGAACCAGUCCUGACAACCCUGUGCAGCUGAGGAGUGAAGACAAGUUUGGCUGCAAAAGAUCCCAGCUCAUCUUCUUAUAGCAAUUUCUGGUCUAAGCAAUGAGCCACCAGCUUCCUGUAGCAAGACUGGGGACCAACUGAAGAACAAGGUCAAAUCCAACAGGUAUAGUAUACUUGGUGGGAAGGAGGUACUUCCUGCCAGUCCUCCAUAGGGUACUGACCCCAGGAGCCAUCACACUAGAAGUAAGGCUCAGUUAGUUUUCAGACUGAAGUUGUUCCGAAGAAAACAAAAGGUACCAGCAAGAGGAAUCUGUGUGAGACACACAGGCAGGAAGCAGAGCUGAGCCACCAGCGACUAGAAUAGAAACAGGAAAUGGGCCCAGGAACAAGCAUACAGUAAUGUGCUGCAAGCAGCACAGGCUCCGGCAGGCACCAGGCAGUAUCAGGGCCGGAGCAGCGUGACUGGGAUGGAGAAGCAGAUUGGCUAGCCCUGCCAGAGAACAGGCGUUCUAGAGAAGGGGCGGCUACUUGCACAUGGUACACGCCGCUCUGAGCAGUCUGGGCAGAUAUGACGGAGGGGGUGGGGAUUUCCUUUCUGAGACUUUUUGAGAGCACCUGGGCUACAAUUCAAGGGGAGCAAGCACACACAGUCAGAUAUAAAGAAAACAGGUCACCAACCUCAGAAAAGCCCAGCUUCUCUGAGUACCGAAAGUGCUAGUGGCAUUUUUGUCAGCCCCUUGAAAAUAAGCCAUCAAAAGCCUAGGCAAAAACUGUUGGCCUGUUUCCUUUCACCAUGAAAUGUGACAAAAGGCAACACGGUGUAAAAUUUUAAUCCUUCAAGCAUUCCAAUUUUUUUAAGCCUUCAGAGGAUUUCUGUCACUCCCCCCAGUAAACACAGAUGACAAAACGCUGGCCCCCGAGCUCACGUGGGCAGCAGGAGCCCAGGGCUGCUCAGCACAGGUGUACCGAGGAGCUGCCUCGCACAGGUGCUACACGCAGACCUGGUCCCUGAGCAGAGGUCCCAGGCCACCAUGAAGAAAUCAGGGGAAAAGUCCCAGAGAACGUAUUGCAGCUAGGUUUUGAAGCCAAAGUAGGAGUUUGCCAGGCAUUAAAGAGAGAGACAGGGAAGGUGACUGGGCAGUCAUCGGAAGCAAGAAGACACUGGCAGGAAGGACUGGGAGUUGUGAGGAGUUUGAGGCACACCUGAGUGGCUGGGGACGAGGCUACACAGGUAUGCUGGGAGCUGUGGCUGGUCCCACAAUGGGGUCUGGCCUGUAGGCAUGGAGAGCCAGGGCCCCCAAAGCACCACAAAACAACGGGUGGUGGUCUUCCAUUCCCACCCCACACACUCAGAGAUUAUUUACAGUUUACUGGACACAGUCAGUAAAAUUCAUGUAUUCCAAAGUGCCCAAGCUUGUCAUUUCAUUUGAAAAUUUUACUCUCAGUUCUCAGGGUCUAACUCCUUGCUGCUGCUGCUUCUUUUCUUUUAAUGUUUAUUUAUUUAUUUAGAGAGAGAGAAAGAAAGAGGCAGAGAGAGGCAGGAGAGACAGAUUAUCCCAAGAAGGCUCUGCACUGUCAGCAUAGAGCCAGACUCAGGGCUCAAUCUCAGGAACCAUGAGAUCAUGACCUGAGCCAAAAUCCGGAGUCAACCAGACGUUCAACCGACUGAGUUACUCAGGAGUCCCCCAACUCCUUGUUUCUAAACCAUUAGCUAAAUGAAUCACCUGGGGAUCUUGUUAACAGUGUUGGAUUCAAUAAAGCUGGGUGGGACCCAAGAACCUGCAUUUCUAAGCAAUUUCCCGGGUGAUGCCUGUGUUGCUAGAUACAGGACCACAUUUUUUCAGUAGCAAGGCUCUGAUUAACAUCACCAUUAAUCAGGACACUGUUCUCUAAGAAGAAAGGCACAAACAGGGUUUGCUCCCAUCUAAGUCAAGGGGAACAAAAGAACCAAAUUUGAGUCAACUUCCCACUGUUUGAGGCGAUUCCCUAGUUGGUUACUUCCUCCAGCAACCCUGCGCCCUAUCAAUUUGGGCAUGUUCCCUCUCCCACCCCUCCCUGCCCCCCCAGCUGCCCUUUUCACAACUCAUCUGUGCUCCAUGACAAGGAGGUCUGGAAAAACAGAAGUGAAAUGGCAAUUCUUUCAGGACAAGCCUGGUAAAUGUUAAACGACAAAGGGGUUGAGGCUUCUGGUUAAACUUGAAGAGAGAAAUUCAGAUUCUCCAAGCCUUUCUUCUGCUGUGUGGGAUGCUAGAGGAAAUAUUUCAUCUGAAAUAUCAGAGAGAGCUGGAUUCAAAUCCUAGUUCUGACCCUUAGUUUCUUCUAACAUAAAAAAGGAGUGGUUACUCAUUACAUUUCAAUUCCUGCUCUUCUAGGAUUGGUAUUGCCUAUAGCUCCUUUCCUGGCCUCACUCCUACCGUCUUAAGAUCUGGAUGCUACAGAAACAACGUAGUUCCCUCCCAUUUCGUCUUUCUAGAUCACUGUAACCCAAGCUCCCAGCAGUCUGACAGUAGUAAAACAUGAGUGCUAAUA